rnacentral:rRNA from 1 species
UAGUUUAUAAUCUUGUUGGUAAAUUUAGAAACUUGGUUAGUAAGAAAAAUAAUUUGUAAUUAAAGUAGUUUUUAGUGAAACAUAAAAUCAACUAUAGUUUAAGAGUACUGUGGAGGAAAGAUAAAUUUAAUUAGAAUUUUAAUAGUAGGUUUAAAAUACCGUACCUUGUGUAUCAGGGAGAAUCAAUAUAGAUCAGUAAAUUUAGUAGUCUCGAAGCAGGGACAGUUAAUUUUAUAAAAUCUUCUUUGUAGUAAAAGAGUGUUAAAUGUAAAAUUAAAGAUGAAAUAUCAGUCGAGCCUUGGUAUAUCUAGUUUUUUCGGAUAUAAAUUUAAUUUAGGUCUUUUGUUAAUAAAAUUUAAAGUCAAAAUACAGGAGGGAGAAGCUUCUUGUAAAAGUUGAAUUGAAAAGUUGUGUAUAGGAGAAAUAUUUGAACUAAGCUUAAAAGUAGCUAUGUUAAUAAAGUGUUUUAACUAAGAGUAACCUCGAAGAAUAUAUAUUAUAUACUUUUAAAAAUUACGAAAAAAUUAAUUUAAAUAUAAAAGGUAAAGUUACAAUGGUUUUAUAAGUAGGAAAUAGUGUGAUAAUAAAAAAAUGAAAUAAUAAGGGUAUUGUGUUUAUUAUUGUGGAAAUAUAGAGGAACUCGGCAAAUAGUUUUCUUGCCUGUUUAUCAAAAACAUGUCUGUUUGAAGGUAUAAAGAGUCUGACCUGCCCACUGAUAAAAUUUAAAGGGCCGCGGUAUUUUGACCGUGCAAAGGUAGCAUAAUCGUUUGGUUUUUAAUUGAGAUCUUGAAUGAAUGGUUUGACAAAGAAAAAUCUGUCUUUAUAUUAAUAAUUGAAUUUAACUUUUAAGUGAAAAGGCUUAAAUUUUUUAGGGGGACGAUAAGACCCUAUAAAACUUUAUGUAAGACUUAAUACUGGAUUGAAAUGUUUAUAUAAAGAUUUGGUAUAAGUUCACAUUAUAUUGGGGUGAUAAAUAUAAAAAGGUUAGUAACUGUAGAAAGCUAUAGACAAAUAUAGGUGUUUAGUGAUUAAAUGAUCCUAAUUAGAGAUUACAAGUUUAAGUUACUUUAGGGAUAACAGCGUUAUUCUUUUUGAGAGUUCUUAUCGAAAAAAGAGGUUGCGACCUCGAUGUUGAAUUAAAAUUUCUG